rnacentral:rRNA from 1 species
UACGUAGGGGGGCAAGCGUUGUCCGGAUUUAUUGGGCGUAAAGAGCGUGUAGGCGGCUUCACAGGUCCGCUGUGAAAACUCGAGGCUCAACCUCGAGAUGUCGGUGGAAACCGUGUGGCUAGAGUCCGGAAGAGGAGAGUGGAAUUCCCGGUGUAGCGGUGAAAUGCGCAGACUAUCGGGAGAACACCCGUGGCGAAGGCGGCUCUCUGGGACGGUACUGACGCUGAGACGCCGAAAGCGUGGGGAGCGAACAGG